CCCUUAGAUGUUCUGGGCUGCACGCGCGCUACACUGAAGCUAUCAACACGUUUUCCCUCCCUGAGAAGGGCGGGUAACCUUUUGAAUCAGCUUCGUGGUAGGGAUCGGGGCUUGCAAUUGUUCCCCGUGAACCAGGAAUUCCUAGUAGACGCGAGUCAUAAGCUCGCAUCGAUUAAGUCCCUGCCCUUUGUACACACCGCCCAUCGCUACUACCGAUUGAACGUUUUAGUGAGGCAUUUGGACCGACGCAUCUCAGUUUAACCGCUGGUUUGUGUUGGAAAGACUUCCAAACUUGAGCGUUUAGAGGAAGUAAAAGUCGUAACA
rnacentral:rRNA from 1 species